CUGUGGAAUUGGUAAGACGCCGGACUUGAUCUGGAUGAACCUUCCCGUGCUUUUUAGAACAUAGAUCGGACCAGUCAGGUCACGAUCGCAACGUAAUACGCCGGAUGACUUUGGUCAUGACGGUAUGGCGAGCUGCGCCGUCCACGUUUCUCUUUCUUCACAAGGAUAUCGAACCAUUGGUUUGCGCUCACGCGCUGUUCGCACCUUCGGUGCUGCGCUCCGCGAGGGCACCGGACGACCGGUGACGGCCUCUGGCCUUUAUGGGCGACCGCUCGCAAGCUUUAGAGUUCAGCGAGUCAGGGCCCGUAGCUCAGUUGGUUAGAGCACACGCUUGAUAAGCGUGGGGUCGGUAGUUCAAGUCUACCCGGGCCCACCAUGCUUUGUCUUUUAGGCUAUGCAUGGCACGACCGCGAAGACGUCUGAUGGUUUAUGCUGAUCCCAUAAGGUUUUGCCUGAUGGGUGUUCGUCGCGAUAGGCUCUUUGGGCUUACGCUGGAAUGGUUGGGGCUGUAGCUCAGCUGGGAGAGCACCUGCUUUGCAAGCAGGGGGUCAGCGGUUCGAUCCCGCUCAGCUCCACCAAUUCGCUUGGUGUUUGAGCCGAGGCGGUGAUUAAAAGAUAUCCUUUGAAGAAAUAAACGUUUUGCAUCGGCUUUCGGGCUGGAUGCGUGUUCUGCAUACAUUGUGAAGAGAAGAUUGAUCUGGAGGCUUCCAGGUGUUUUGAGCGACCGCAAGGUUGUUUAAAGCGUCCGAGCCCGGACCUUAUGAGAACGUGGAUGGCCUAGCCGGCUGGAAACGAAGGAGGGGACGGAGGUAGGAAGGAAGCUUGUCGCUCUGGGUCGCCAGCGUAAAUUGCGAAAGCGGUUUGCGCGUGUUGUUUGUAUUCCUGAUGGAAUGCAUCUCGACGGCGACCGGAUUACCGUUGCCUGACCGCGCGGUAUCGGAUCCAAUCUCGAGAAGCUGGUCUUAAGAUAGACCGCAAGCGAGCUGCUCGGCGUAGCUCCAAUAAAGCGGAUCUAUCGAACACGUCGAUGGCAUUGUUGAUUGGACUGGGUUGUAAAAGGUAACCCGGUCUGUUGCUGUUUCUAUUGAAACAUCAACUAGAUGAUGAGCAUCGGCAAUGAGAACGAUUAAGUGUUAUAAGGGCAUUUAGUGGAUGCCUAGGCAUGCACAGGCGAUGAAGGACGUGAUACGCUGCGAAAAGCCGUGGGGAGCUGCGAAUAAGCU
rnacentral:misc_RNA from 1 species